CAGAGGGUGCAAGCGUUAAUCGGAAUUACUGGGCGUAAAGCGUGCGUAGUCGGUUACUCAAGUCGGGUGUGAAAGCCCCGGGCUCAACCUGGGAAUUGCAUUCGAUACUGUUUAGCUAGAGUUCGGCAGAGGGAAGUGGAAUUUCCGGUGUAGCGGUGAAAUGCGUAGAUAUCGGAAGGAACAUCAGUGGCGAAAGCGACUUCCUGGACCAGAACUGACGAUGAGGCACGAAAGCGUGGGGAGCAAACAGGAUUAGAUACCCUGGUAGUCCACGCCAUAAACGAUGACAACUAGACGUUGGGAGGGUAAGCCUCACAGUGUCGCAGCUAACGCGUUAAGUUGUCCGCCUGGGGAGUACGGCCGCAAGGUUG
rnacentral:rRNA from 1 species